UACGUAGGGCGCAAGCGUUAUCCGGAAUUAUUGGGACGUAAAGAGCUCGUAGGUCGGUUUGUCGCGUCUGCCGUGAAACGUCCGGGGCUCAAACUCCGGGAUCUGCGGUGGGUACGGGCAGACUAGAGGUAGGCGAGUGAGGGGGAGACUUGGGAAGUUCCUGGUGUAGCGGUGGAAAUGCGCAGAUAUCAGGAGGAACACCGGUGGCGAAGGCGGGUCUCUGGGCAGUAAACUGACGCU
rnacentral:rRNA from 1 species